GUUUGAUGAGUAGAUGAUCAUAGUGCUUGAGUUGGUAAAGGAGUGGAUGAUCAUAGUGCUUGAGUUUGGUAAAGAAGUGGAUGAUCAUUUCAAUGCUUAUCUUAUAACAUGUUUAAUAUUUGCUUAUCUUAUAACAUGUUUAAUAUUGUUAUCAAAUUGAUAAGUUCAUGCACGUCCGCAUAAAAUAUUUAUUAAAUAAAAACUAAAAUUAUUAUUUUAUUUUUUUGGCAUUACUAAAAUUAUUUUUUAUGUUAUUUUUUUAUGUACAAUUCUCUCCAAUGAUCAUUUUUCAAGUUUUUACCAAAAGAGUUUCCAAGUAAGAAUAUGAGCAAAACAAAUUUAUUAAAAAGAUAAAAUAUUAUUAUAUCCUUACUUUAUAGAUAUUUAAAUAUUUAUUAUUAUAAUAAAUAGAUAAAAAUAAUUAUUUGUUUUUUGAAUAAUACUUUUUGAAUUCGAAUUUUUUUUAUUUUUUAAAUUUUUAUUUCGAAUCCAAAAAUUAUUUUUAAAACUAUUUAAAAAAAAUAUUUUGAAAAUUUUAAUAUUUAUUUAAUUUUUAAAAAUUCUGAACUCCACCUCUUAAAUCAAAUGAUAAAGAUGAUUAUAAAACAUAUAAAAUUAUCGGUUAUAAAGUUAUCUGAUAAAAAUUCUCAUAAUUCAUGGGAGAUAAAUCAGUGUUAAAGAUGAUUAUCUGUUCUAGAGAAUUUUGUUAGAAAAUUAAAAUUCAGAUUUUCAUAGAUAAUAUGGUAUUUCUAAAAAAGCAGGAGCGACAACCAAAAUAAUAUUAAUACUGAUCAAAAUUCUCAAAAGAUAACAUGCUCAGUUGGCUACAUUUAAUAUCAGUUUAUCCACAAACUUUUCAAAUUUGAUAAAUUCAAAUUCGAAUUUUUAAGCACAAGAUAGACGCUAGUUUCAUAUAACUGGCUCAUGAAAAUGACUUAUAAAUACUCUAGACAAAGAUGAUUCAACAACCACGAGGGAGUGGAAAGUGUAUUGAUGGAGCCAAGAACUUAUGAUGCAGUUUUCACCAUUGCAAACUAAGUUUGAAGUUUAUUUGGAAAACGGAUUGUAUAAUUUCCCUACAUCAAACAAAAUUUUCUUUCAUGACAAAUUGUAUGGAAUUUGUGAAGAUGGUGUUCACACAAGCGGAACGAGAUGCAUUCACAAUUCAUCUGAAAGAGUUUCAAAGAUUUAAGAAGUUAUACAUUUUUUUAUCUCGUUUACACCGUACGCAAACGAUAUAAUGACUGAUAAGUUGGCAAAAAUAUGUUUGUAUUCUUAGUAACAUAUUUUCAUGUAAAUUAUAUAUUCCUUGUUAGGUUAUAUAAACAUAAUAUAACUUUCUAUAUACAUGUGAAAUAAAUUUCCAUAUACGAAAUCAAAAUGAUAAACAUAAAAUUAGUUUGAGUAAAUAUGAAGGGGAUAACCAAAUGGUGGUAGCUAACUUACGGUAUGGUGUAAAUCCGUCAGCUCUCAGUUCGAUUACUACUCGAAACAAAGUUGAUGCUACUUUGCCGGUCUAGGUUUAGGGCUUGUUUUUUCAUGGAUAAUAAUGAACGAAGAUAACACGAUGAUAUCUAUUUAAACAUCACAAUACUAAAAACAAGAUAUACUCAAAUUUUAGCUAUGCCACAUCAGCAUGGAAAUUCAAACCAAUCAAAAUGUAAUUAGAUGCCAUGUCAUUUAAGCAAAACAAAUCUUACCUAGCGAUGGAUUAACAUUGAAGAAGCCCUCUCAGGUUCUUUUCUUUAUUGAUUUGCAAUCCCUUUCUUCGUCGCCUUACGAUUCCAUCUUUAAAGUUUCCACCUUUCCGACGGAAACUUACGUUGACUUUGUUUUCAUUUUGGUCAUUACAGCGUCUUCUCUCCUUCUCCGCCAUUCAAACUGAUCGGAGCUAUAGUUCGUUCGAUCAUCCCUCGUGGGUUUUCCUCUAUCUGUUUCCCGCGCUAGAUCUAUGGCCGUUUUAGUCCAAAAAUUUGCUCGCAGAGACGGUAGCGAACAAUCUGGGUCGGUCGAGCAAGAAGCUUCCAUCAAUGGGUCUCCAGAGAUCCAGUACGAGACGGUAACCGGUCGUGGGAUUGAAGCCAUCGUUAAUAGUCUGGUAAGUAAAAGGAAUCUCCUUGAUGCACGCAGGAUGUUCGAUGAAAUGCCUCUUUUUAAGUAUAUUCAUUUCGUGUUGUGCAUAUGUUUCUUAUUGAGACAGAGCACAUGGGUUGUGUCUAUUCUGUUUGCUUCCAUCAUUCUUCUGCGGCGUGAUGGUACUGCCUUGUGGGGAAUCAUUGGAUCCGUUUCGAAUUCGGCUCUUUCAGUGGUGCUGAAGCGUAUACUUAACCAAGCGAGGCCUGCUACAACCUCGCGUCCUGAUCCCGAGAUGUCAUCUACUCACGCCCAGUCUAUCUCUUUCAUAUUUGUGUUUGUUGUUUUGUCUGGUAAGCAAUUAAAAAGAACUUGGAACUAGGGAAGCCAAUUCUGGGUUCAGAGGCGAUCUUUAUGGUAAGCUUAAUAUUCAGUUACGUUUUACAUGUUUUUCCUUUGAAACUUUAAUAAGGCUCUAACCUCUCUGCACGUGACAUAUUUUGCAUCCAAAAUUUCAGAUAUUAUCCAGCUAAUCAAUGGCCAGUCUGUCACCGACCGCCCCGUCGUCCUUCACGGAGUAGGAGCAGCAACCACUGAGCCAGUGUUAGUUUAAAUUCUUGGGAAAAAACCAUCUGAGGGAGUUUAGGCAACCAAGUGACAGUUUUUCUAAUCUCUUGAUUCCAAGUAGUAGUUCUACAAAUUUUGAAAGCAAAACCCUCUGAGAAAGUUAUCCUAAUCUUCUAAAUGUGUUCAUUGCAGACUCUUGAGAACAUAGCAUUCAGCAAGAAUACCGAGAAAUGGUAGAGAGGCAUGUGUUUACAAGCACAGAUUUAAAAAUCUGUUUUUCUCAGUUUAAUCUCUUGAAUCAGUAUUAGUAAUGGGUUCAUGAUGAUCCUUUACCGUGUGUAGACAGUGGAUAGAUUGAAACUGGAGACAGUGAGCAUAUUUUUCAGAAAGCAAUCAUGGAACUAGGAAGAGGGCAGGUUGGUAUUUAGUGCAAGAGAACAGCUGUUACGUGUAUCUCAAAUUAGAUUAUUUUCUGUCUCUAUGCAUGCAGAUAAUAAAUAAUUGGAUACACUUGCUGAGAUUCAGGAACUGCACGACACUUUCAGAGGCUGGACAAGAAACUCCUCCACAUUGUAGGUUAUAAUAAAAAUGAUGAAUCUGAAAGUGUCAAACAAGAUGGUGAACUAAUGAAUGCUUCUGAAAUCGUCCAGGUGCUACUAAUGGCGAAGAGGUGGAAGAGUUUCAAAGCCAGACGAAAGGUCAAGCAAUCUGAAUACCAUCAAUAGAUCAAGGAAAACAAGAGAUGAGUGGGAAACAAAGAGUAGAGAAGUCUGAAGAAGAAGAUGGUCGUGGAGAAGAAUUAAGAAGAGACAAUAUUCAAGUGAACUACUCAUAAGAAGAAAAGGUCGAAUACAUACCCUUUUAGUUCGUCUGACUCUAAAGCUCAAAAGAUCCAAUGAAAGUAGAAGAAACUAAGAAGGAUAAUGUGACAUCUGAGUUGAGGUUGGUCUCUUCUUCUACAUGUCUCUGUGUUCUUAGAAGUUUUUAGAUAUUCGUUCCAUGUAACUUAUGUCAUUCUAACAUGUAAUACAUUUAUUUAAUUGAUUGUUUAUUAAAUAAUACUAUUCCUCUCCACUCUUUUUAUAAUCUUUUUUUAAUUAACAGUCUCUAACAUUUAAUCUCAAAUUAUUCAAUUUCAUACAUUUUAGAUUAUUUUGAAAUGAUACUAAAAACAUCAAUAAAAUUGAGUAUAUUUCUAUUAAGAAAUUAUAUUUUAUUACUACAAUAAUUCGUUUGUGUGAUAUUAUUAGUUGAGUUUACUGCUUACACACCAAUUAUGACUAAUAAUUUAUCGCUUUGGGUAAACAGAAAACAUUCAUAUUUCUGAGUUAGUAGUGCAAUCUUUUUGAGUUAGUAGAGCAAUUUUUUCAUGUUCUGUUCGAAACCUAAAACUACUAUGUAUUACAUAAUAUAUUAUAUAAUACUAUAUAUAUCAGUUAACUCAUAUCUUGAAUUCAUUCUAAUUGAAAAAAAAUUAAUACUAUUUUUGAAAACAGCCAAACAAUAAAAAAUGGUAAAACAAUGUAAUUUAUUUUCUAAACAAUAGAUUUACAUUAAAAAUUAUAUCAGUUACAUGUAAAAUAUAUUCAAAUUAUAUAUUGUAUUCAAAAGGUCAAUUUGAAAUUGUUUGGGGAAACAAAUAUAAUUGUAACAAGUCAAAAUAUAUAAUCCGCGCGAAGCGUGGAGAAAAACUCUAGUACUUUAGAGAGAAAAAACUCGUUUUGAACUCUUAGUUUUUAUUAAUGAACCAUCAUACACAGGGGAGUCCCUCGAUAGAACUAAAUGAAGCAUGAAUUUCGGGCCCCCACUUUUAAAAGGCUUCCAUUUCUAAAAUUUCAUUAUAAUUUUUCAGAGAAAAAAUAACAUUGUAAAUAGAACUAAAAUCAGACCCACUAUUAAUAUGUCACUGACAAAAAAAAAAAAAACUAAAAUUAAAAUGCAUCCACAGUUAGAUAGACCCCCAAUUUUUUUUUUGUUUAUAGCCUCCAUAUCUGCAGAAACGCUACAUAUUUAUACAUAAAGCAACAACAUAAUGAUGAAAGCUAUCACCUAUCUCCACCAGUCUAUUCUUCAAUUGUGUUUACACAAAUAUCAAGCUUGAAUAUAUGACUAACUUGUUCUGAACGGUACUUGACAUGACCACUUGAUUCUUAUAUACUUGCUUGUCUUUGAUGUGAUCUUGUCCUUCCAAUUAGAUAAGAGAUAACUAAGUAGUAAACAUAUACUUUUUGGACACUAAUUUUUCCCCUUUACAGUGUUGAAACAUUUGUUAGUUUGCUGGUCGAACUAUUUCCCUUCUGGUUCAGAGUUUGACCAAGUUGUACUUUCUAUGUAUUUCACCAAAUUUCGCCAGAGUGACGAAGUUGUACUAGCUCUUGCACUUCGGAUGGGUUGUGUUGUUACUCAUUGGGAUCUUCUUCUCUGAGUGAUUACCACACUCAAUUGAUCCUUGAAGGCCUCCAAUUUUAUCCACACUUUGUUCCUUCUGGACUGCGAAUAGAAGCUUGUCUCACUCAAGCUUAUCCUUAGCUUAGAUUGAUUCACAUUGUACCACCAUAGGAGUUUUUCCUCCUGUCACUCAAUUUACCUCCUUCGGAUAGUUUUUUAUCCUCAUUUCAAAAGAAGGUAGAAAAAGGAGUCAUUGCACCCAAUGUAUUAAGAAGAUAUUAUCUGAAUCUGACCAAGGAACAUUGGUUUUGAAGCGUCAUUUAGAACAUUACCCAAAAAACCAAAAGUGAUAAAUAAUAAACAUGAGUGUGAUCACAAAGGAGAUCGCUUCAUGAUUAGAGAUUAUUAUCUACCAUGAUCAGCUUUUUUGAUAUGUCGAGUAUGAAAAGGUUAGGACUAGGUUAAGUGCUUUAUCUAAGUCGUCAGCAUAUAUGUAGGUAACCAACUAAAGAUGACAUAUAUAAAAGAUUUGAAGAAGAGAAAGAAAAUCUGAAAAAUGUAUUAACAGAUUAUACAAGAUUUGAAUAUUCCUUACGUUAGAUAUGUGUUAUAUUAAUGUGUAAACAAUCUAUGGUUUUUGGAGAGUUUGGUUAUAUUUUAGUUUUCUUUGUUUGCGUUCAUUUUGGUAAAAGUGUCAUAAUUAUGAUUAUAUGUAAAAUUUUGAUUAGUUUUUGGUAAAAAUCUUUUACAAUAUUAAUUAAUUAAAAAACCCACAAAUUAUAAGAUUAAAUAUGAACUUGAAAUCUGAGAAAAUAAGAAAGAAACUCAUGAAAAGAAUAAUAGAAAAUUUUAAUUAGAUCUACCUGUAAUCAAGAUUAAUUUAGUCAAAAUUAAUCACAAAAAUAAAUUAAAACAAAGAAUCAGGGUAAAUAUGGAUAACCUUAAAAUUACAUAGUUUCCGGUUUCUCCUACUAAUACAUAAGAUUUUUGAUUGUAUUUUUAUUUUUAUGGAGAAUUAGAAUAGAGAGAUUUUUACUUAUGACAACAUUUCAAAUGAGUAUUCCACUUCAUUGAGUUAAAUGGUAAAACUUUAAGGAAUUUAUCUGAAUAAACCAACUCUGUAAUUUUAUUUCAAAAAUGAUAAUCGAGUUGAAGUCAAAACUGAAUUCUAUAAAACUUGAAUCUUAUCGCGAAUGAUGAAUAUAUUUUGAAAGAAAGCAAUCUAUAAAACUGAAUAUUAUUGUGGACAACAAAAAUCUACUUUCUGUUAUAAAAUUCUAUAAAACUGAAUAUGCGGUUAUCAACCAAGUAAUAAAAGGAGGAUAUAAGCCUUAGAUAGAGUGUCCACGUAGGUGAAAAUAAUCGGUCAAUGAGAAACUAUAUUUUUGCCAUGUCACCUCCUCUAUUUGUUUUUACAAAAUGAUCCUUUAACUUUUUACUUAAACAAUUAUAACCGAAAAUA